CCAGUUUCAUUCUUCUGCAUAUGGCUGGCCGACUAUUCCAGCACCAUUUAUUGAAUAGGGAGUCCUUUCUCCAGUUUGUUUUUGCUGACUUUGUCAAAGGUCAGGUGGCUGUAGGUAUACAGAUUUAUUUCUGGGUUCUCUGUUCUGUUCUGUAGGUCUAUGUGUCUGUUUUUUGUACCAGUACUCUGCUGAUUUGGUUACUGUAGCCUUAUAGUAUUGUUUGAAGUUCGGUAAUGUGAUGCCCGUUGCUUUGUUCUUUUUGCUUAGGAUUGCUUUGGCAAUUUGGGCUCUUUUUUUUUGGUUCCAUAUGAGUUUUAGAGUAAUAUUUUUUUCCUCAUUCUGUGAAAAAUAAUGUUGGUAAUUUGAUCGGAAUUGUGUUGAAUCCAUAGAUUACUUUGGGCAGUAGAGCCACUUUAGUGAUAAUUGACUUUUCCAAUCUAUGAACAUGGUGUUCCCAUUUGGGUCAUCUAUGAUUUCUUUCAACAGUGUUGUCAUUCUACUUUUUUUUAUUAAGAUGGGGUCUCACUCUGUCGCCCAGGCUGGAGUGCAAUGGUGCAAUCUCUGCUCACUGCAGCCUCCCCCUCCUGGGUUCAAAUGGUUCUCCUACCUCAGCCUCCCAAAUAGCUGGGACUACAGGUGUGCACCACCAUGCCCGGCUAAUUUUUGUAUUUUUAGUAGAGACAGGGCUUCUACAAAUGUUGGCCAGGCUGGUCUUGAACUCCUGACCUCGUCAUAUGCCCACCUCUGCUUCCCAAAGUGCUGGGGUUAUAGGCGUGAGCCACCUAGCCCAGCCAACUCAUUUUUCUUGUAGAGAUCUUUCACUUCCUUGGUUAGAUGUAUUCCUAGAUAAUUUUUGUGUGGUUAUUGUAAAUGGCAUUGCAUUCUUGUUUUGGCUCUCAGGUUGAAUGUUACUGGUAUAUAGAAAUGCUACUAAUUUUCAUACAUUAAUUUUAUAUUCUGAAAUGUUACUAAAGUAAUUUAUCAGUUCCAGGAGACUUUUGGUGAUGUCUAUUGGGUUUUCUAGGUAUAGAAUUAUAUAGUCUGUGAAAAGAGAUAGUUUGACUUCCUCUCUUCCUCUUUCCAUGCCUUUUACCUUUUUCUCUUGCAUAGUUGCUUUGCCUAGGACUUCCAGCACUAUGUUGAGUAGGAGUGGUAAGAGUGGGCAUCCUUGGCUUCUUCCAGUUUCCAAGGGGAAUGCUUCUAGCUUCUUCUUUUUCAGUAUGAGGUAUGCUAUGAGUUUGUCAUAGAUGUGUCUCAUUAUUUUGAAAUAUGCUCCUUCAAUUCCUAGUUUUUGAGGAUUUUUAACAUGAAGAGAUGUGAAUUUUAUUGAAGGCAUUUUCUGCAUCUAUUGAGAUGAUUAUAUGACUUUUACUUUUAAUUUUCUUUGUGGCGAAUCACAUUGAUUGAUUUGCAUGUGUUGAACAAACGUUGCAUCCCAGGAAUGAAGCCUACAUGAUCAUAGUGGAUAAGGUUUUUGAUGUGCUGCUGGAUUUGAUUUCUAGUGUUUUGUUGAGGAGUUUUUGAUCUAUGUUCAUCAGGGAUAUUGGCCUGCCAGGUUUUGGUAUCAUAGUGAUGCUGGCUUCAUAAAAUGAGUUAGGGAGGAGUCCUUCCUCCUAACUUUCUUUGGAAUAGUUGCAGUAGGAUUGGUGCCAGCUAUUCUUUGUAUGUUUGGUAGAAUUUGAUUGUAAAUCCAUCUGGUCUAGGACCUUUUUUGGCUGGUAGGGUUUUUUAAAUUACUGAUUUGAUUUUGUAACUCAAUAUUGGGCUGUUCAGGGUUUCAAUUUCUUACUGAUUUAAUCUUGUGAGGUUUUGUGUUUCAAGGAAUUUAUUCAUUUCCUCUAUAUUUUCUAGUUUGGGUGCAGAGAGGUGUUCAUAAUGUUCUCUGAGGAUCUUUUAUAUUUCCAUGGUAUUGGUUGUAAUGUCAUCUUUGUCAUUUCCGAUUGUGCUUAUUUGGAUCCUCUCCUUUUUUUUUUCUUUUUGGUUUAUUUAGCUAGUGGUCUCUCUUGUUUAUUCUUUUUAAAAACUAUUUUUUUUGUUUUGUUGAUUAUUUUAUGGAUUUUUGGAUCUCAAUUUUUUUUCAAUUCUCCUCUGAUUUUAGUUAUUUCUUUUAUUCUACUAGCUUUAGGGUUAGUGAUAUGGUUUGGCUCUGUGUCCCCACCCAAAUGUCAUGUCAAACUAAUUCUCAGUGUUGGGAGAGGGACCUGGUGGGAGAUGAUUGGAUCUUAGACGCAGAUUUCCCCAUAGCUGUUCUUGCGACAGUGAGUUAUCGUGAGAUCUGGUUGUUUAAAAGUGUCUAGCACAUCCGCCUUCACUCUCUCUUGCCACCAUGUGAAGUUGUGCUUGCUUCUCCUUUGCCCUUCUGCUGUGAUUGUAAGUUUCCUGAGCCCUCUCGAAGCCAUUUCUCCUUUAUGGCCUGUGGAACUCCUUUAAGCCUCUUUUUUUUUUAAAUUACGCAGUCUCAGAUAGUUCUUUAUAGCAGUGUGAGAACAGACUAAUAUGGUUAGUUCGUUAUUGUUUUUCUAUUUCUUCUAGAUGUGAUGUUAGAUCCCUAGUGAUAUGUUUUGGCUGUGUCCCCACCCAAAUUGCAUCUUGAAUUCCCACGUGUUGUGGGAGGCACCUGGUGGAAGAUAAUUAAAUCAUGGGGGCCUGACUUUCCCAUGCUGUUCUCUUGAUAGUGAAUAAGUCUCACAAGAUCUGAUGGUUUUAAAAAGUGGAGGUUUCCGACAAGCCCUCUCUUUACCUGCCGUCAUUCAUGUAAGACGUGACUUGCUUCUCCUUGCCUUCUGCCAUGAUUGUGAGGUCUCCACACCCAAGUGGAACUGUCUUGAACUUGGCUUGAGGAAACUCUCAACUUAUUUAAUUUUGCCUCAGCAUUUUCCUUUGGUCAACAUUAUCUGGAGAAAAUUGACAGGACUCACAGUGACCUCCUGCUCAUUACCCUUCCCUCUCAGACUCAGCACUCGGUAUCAGCAUGAAACUAACAUGUUCCACUAAUUCCAGAGGUUUGACUGGGAACAAAAAGGUACUGGAUCGGGAGACAUUUUAGUGAGCAUGGCCUUUGGGGUUUGUUGCCUCUUUCGGUGGGGAGAGACGGGGUCUUGUUAUGUUGCCCAGGCUGGUUUCAAACUCUUAGGCUCAAGUGAUCCUCCUGCCUCAGACUCCCAAAAUGCUGCAAUGUGAGCCUCUGUGCCUGGCCAUACUGACCAUAUCUUAAUGAAGGAACUCGGAAGUUAGUAAAGGUCAAGCUGCAAAUUUCCCUCAAAGCAGUAUAAAAGAAGGAGGAAUGCUCACAAGUCCCCUGAUGGAUGCCUCUUUGUUUAGAAAUGCUUGCUGUUUGAUACAGUCAUCAAAAAUUGUGAAGACCUGCAUCCCUUUGUAUCUCAAGCAAAGACAGAGACCCUAACCACUGGUGGUGUCUAGUACGAUGACAUGAAGCUGGAGGAGUAAGCUGGGGCCAGGUUAUGAAGAGGCUAUGCAGGAUGGGGUUUGAACUUCAUUUUACAAGCACUGGCUCCUAGGCACAACCCCCAUACGGCUGCCGUUUGGCUCCUAGAUCUCUGCGUACCUGCAGUGCACCACAGUGGGCCCAGCACCUGGGCUUCUGUUGAUGUAGUCCCUGACAGUCCUCACAAACUGGAUCAGAGACUGAGUGGUUUCCGGGACUCCAUGGUCUGGCCACACCGUAUAGUGAAAGUGGCGGAUGAGUCUGUGUGCAUCGAGCUGUUCCUCCUGUAAGAGCAGAGAGCAGGAUAGUAAGAGGACAACUGAGCCAUGGAGCAAUUCCUAUGGGCUGAAACUACGAGAGAAGAACCAGCAAAAGUGGGAUUAGCAGGUCUCCUUCAUCUCCCCCAGCUGGGUUGUUAAAUGAAGUCAUAAGCUAACAUACAGUGCAUAUCUUAAACUCCCGGAUGGUCCACUCAGGCAGGACGGACUCUGAGAGCAUCUGCAGGAUGAGGUCCCCAUAGUAGAGGGAAUCCUGGUCCGCUGGCCAGUAAUGAUCACACUUUACCUAGAAGAUGACAGACAGAAACAACGUGAGUCCAGAAAAAUGACUCCUUGUGAACCUGAGCUUUCCCUCCUCUAAACGCCUUCCUGAGUUAGUUAGGAAUUCGGGAUCAGCCGCUAAAGCAAUUUGACCAUCUACUUUACAUUAACCUGCUCAUGGCCAGCGCUGAAGCUGAGGUGCUGCUGCAAGUGAAGGGGAGACCCUGCGUAAGGAGCACCCCCAAGCCCAAUCUGUAGAUUCACUCACUCUCUUAGGCCUAGGGAUACAUGACUUGAGGGUUUUUUCUUUUUUUAAAUUGAUUUUCUUAGCAUUUCAGUUCCACUAGCAGGUAAACUAUGGUUCCCAAUUCACUGUUGUUCUUUCUAAAGAAAUAUCUAGUUGUGUAGAGGAAGGCACUGUCUUCCUGGCCCUGCUUUGUUUGUAUUUAUAUGUCACUGUCCUAACUUGGGUCUUGUGCCAAGAGAUCUUUGAGAAGUCAGAACGUUUAGCUAAGCUUGCCUUUAUAUGUGCACAGACAAGGACAAGAGGAUUGUGAGCAUGUAUUUACUGAAUGCAGAUACUGGGCACUUUACAUGUAAUCUCUCUUUUAAUCCUCAAAAUAACCAUAUAAAGUAGAGGAUGAUAAGUGCAUUACAAGGGGUUUGCUUAAUUUGUCUGGAUAAUUCUUUGGCUUUGCGUCUGCCAACACAGCCUAAAACUCACUUCUCCUUUCCUGGGAGGAGGGGCAGGUUCCCCUGGCCAUACACUGAAGAUGGAGUAGCCAAGUGGCCAGGGCCAGGUAGUUUUUUGGUAAUAAUGGGCACUGCUGAAAAUCCCAGUCCUCAAAUGGAAACAGCUUUGACUAGCACUUCAGACCCAGAAUCAGGCAUCACCUGGGUUCACUAUUAGUGAUUUAAGUUAGAGUCUGUUCAAAGACUCUAACAAUGUUCCCACAUGAUCGCUACUUGGUUUUGCGGGGUUUCACUUGGAUGGAGGGGCAGAAUUCUAUCCAGGCGGCAGAAAGCAAAGCUUGGAUGUCAGGAAGGCUGUUUACUCACUCGGCCCUUCUCAACACACUGGGUCACCAUGACGAUGUUGUGAACGUUUUGUUCCCACACCAUUUUCCAGAAGUCAUCCUUGGUGCCAGGAAGUGGUCCCUGAGUGACAAUGUAUUCUCUUCUGAAGUUGUUGCCCUGCAAUGAAUUUACAACAUGGAGAGCUGGAAACAAUGGGCCACUUCAGAACUAUAAACAAAGGGUUCUUCAGAUUAGAUGACAGGGAGGCCUCUGCCAAGUCCCUGACUUCAGAAAAAGAUACUAACACAAGUGUCAAGGCUUGGGAGCAGGAAGGACAAAGGUCAGAACGUUGAACUACUGUUAAGAGCCACAUUCCCUUUUACUAGCCUGGGUCUAUUCUGAAAGGGGGGUCUCAGGAAACAAUCUAGAAAACACUUCAGCUUCAAUUAUAUGUGUGUGAGGGCAGGGGGCAGGUAUUUGUGUAGACUGUUUGAGGGGCUGUGAUCAGGCUCUUUCCCUAUUUAACAUAGAAGAGUUUUAGUCAUUUUAGAUAAUUAACUUCAGAAUACUUUGGUAAGACAUGUCUUGCAUGGGAAGAUAAACCUCUGUUGACUGAACAUCUAAUGUAUCUUGGGUCAGACUGACUUAAUCCAAACCAUAAUCCAAGAGCUGGAUAUUUUUUUUUUUUUUGAGACAGAGUCUCACUCUGUUGCCAGGCGCCAGGCUGGAGUGCAGUGGCGCGAUCUUGGCUCACUGCAACCUCCACUUCCCGGGUUCAAGCAAUUCUUCUACCUCAGCCUCCCAAGUAGCUGGGACCACAGGUGCGUGCCACCACGCCCAGCUAAUUUUUGUAUUUUUUAAUAGAGACGGGGUUUCACCAUGGUCUCAAUCUCUUGAUCUCAUGAUCUGCCUGCCUCAGCCUCCCAAAGUGCAGGGAUUAUAGGCUGGAGCCACCGUGCCUGGCCUGAGCUGGAUAUUUUCAUCUAUUCCUUCUGCACUACAUCAAUGACAACAAUUCCUUGUCAAUUCUAGUCGAAGCUCCUCUUUGCCUCUCCUCAGGGUCUCCACAUUAGGUCACCUCUGCUGUUGCCUCCCAACCCCUCCCCACCAAAACACUGCCUCUCAUCUGAUGAAUCCUUAAUUUAUCCUCAGCAUGGAGCCUGCUCCGCUGAGCCUUCCUUUACCUUUCUCUCUGCUGGGGGAUAUUCUCCUCCUAGAUGCCCCAUGGCAACCUCUAGCCUCUUGCUACUGAGUGUGGUUCUCAGACUCAGAUCAGCAGCACUGGAAUCACUCAGAGACUUGUUAGAAAUGCAGAUUCCCAGGCCCCGCCUCGGCCCUGCUGGAUCAGAAUCUGCCUUUGCACAAGACCCCAGAUAAAGCAGAUGUCUUUCAAUAUAGAAGAGGCACUGCUGUGGCAGUUUCUCGUGGCAUUGCCUUUUCUUGCCUAAACUCUUUUCUGAAAGUUUCUUUAGGGUCAAGAUUCCAUCUUAUCCCAUGCCUGUAAAUAGCUCAGUGUUUGACUUAAAGUUAGCACUUAAUUCAUAAGUGUUUACUGAGUGAAUGGAUAAUUGCUUGAAGUAAAUAUGAUUAUCUUCAGUGUUUGGAAAAGAAAAUGGCGGCCCAAAAAAGUGACAUAACGUGCCCAAGGUCACAGAGUCAACAAAGGGCAGAAGUGGGAUUCAAAUCUAGGUUUGCUUGACCUUAAAGCUUUUUCCACCACAGUGUGCUGUAGGAAGGUGGCAAGAUGCUAAGCAAAACCAGAGCCCAAAGAUUUGACAUAACCUUUGAGUUGUGUCUGUGGUUGUGAAGAGUCCAAAUAACAUGGGAUCAACUUCUCUAGCUAGGCAGCUUUAGCAGGGGAGGUCCAUCUUCCUUAGGAAGCUCUCAUCUCGGUUAAGGACUGCAGAGAGUAGAUGACCUAUGAAAAUGCAUCCUGGGCUCAUUAUAAUUUCAUUUGACUCUAGCCAUUGUGCAAAAUGUGGCUUUGCAGGAACUGAAUUGGAUACCCCAUUUUUUUAAAUGGCAUUCAGACAUGCUCUUGUGAAAGCUACAAGCAUUUCCAGACCUAAGAAUAGUGGGAACAUGCAGGAGUGGCAUCUCCAGUGUUGCCACCCACCAAAGCCUCAUCCUGAACACUGUGGCCUCAUAGUUCACUUACAGGGAUGUAGCUGGCGUUGAUGUAGUCAGAGCAAGGAUCAUCGUCUACAUUGGACAGCUUCACUCGCGAGGCAUCAUCUGGAAGAAGAGAUUUGCAGCUGAAUCUUGGGGUGAUUUUUCUAUAGUUGAUGUAAUGUGUGUGAUGUGCCUUAGUUCUGAUCCCCACAGUAGCCCCAGAUGGAAGGUGAUCUUAUCUCCAUUUUUGCAGAUGAGGCUCAGACAGGAUCACUAACUUGCCCAAGAUUGCACAGGUGGCCUGUAACCAGUCAGACACAGGAGACAACGUGAAGCUCCAUCUGUGCUUCCCUUUGUAACAUUGUCACAUUUGCCUGGUGGAGUGGCCAGCUCCUUUUCACUGCUGGAAUGAAUGCAGUCCAGAAAACCUGCCUCCUAUUGCUUUACCCAAUGGGGUAAGGAAAUUUAAGCAGAAAUUGCUAACGGAAGACUUUGCUAAGCAAACCCACGUCUGCUUGAUGUCAGAGCCCUUGCUGUUAACCCCAUUACUGUUCUUAGCCUCCAAAGAGAAGCAGUAGGACCACAUGGGGAAAUGUCAACAGCAUAAGAGUCCUUUCAUAAUCAGAAUUUAAACUGGCUAUUAUCCCUCUAGAGGGAAGUGCAGAAAUAUACAAGUUAUUUCUUAUUAAAGUCAUUCAGAGCUUGA